GACGUAGGGCGCGAGCGUUGUCCGGAUUUAUUGGGCGUAAAGAGCUCGUAGGCGGUUUCUUAAGUUUGACGUGAAAACUCCUGGCUUAACUGGGAGAGGUCGUUGAAGACUGGGGAACUUGAGGCAAUGAGAGGGAUGUAGAAUUCACGGUGUAGUGGUGGAAUGCGUAGAUAUCGUGAGGAAUACCAGUGGCGAAAGCGACAUCCUGGCAUUAGCCUGACGCUCAUGUGCGAAAGCGUGGGGAGCGAACGGG
rnacentral:rRNA from 1 species